rnacentral:lncRNA from 1 species
AAAAUUUAGAAUCAGUUUCUCUGAUUUUGCUAUUUAUAUGUAUAUGUUUGAGAAAAAUGGUUGUUUUAUUCUAUAAACUACGGACAACAUUUCUCCCAAAUUCCAAACAAAAAUAUUGUCAUUUACAGCAUUUAUUUUCAGAAAAUUAGAAAUGGCUGAAAUAACAGAAUAGAUGCAGAGCUUUCGGUCCUCAAUAAUGCAACGAAAACAAGUUCAUUUUUAUAAAGUUUAAGAGUUCAAAAAUCAAUAUUUGGUGGAAUAACCCUGUUUUUUUAAUCACAGUUUUCAUGCAUCUUGGCAUGUUCUCCUCCAGUUUUACAAAAUGCUUUUGGAUAACUUUAUGUCACUCCUGGUGCAAAAAUUCAAACAGUUCAGUUUGGUUUGAUGGCUUGUGAUCAUCCAUCUUCCUCUUGAUUAUAUUCCAGAGGUUUUCCACUUGGUAAAAUAAAAAAAAACUCAUCAUUUUUAUGUGCUCUCUUAUUAAUUUUUUUUCCAGAUCUGCAUAGCCAACAUGACUUUGAAGAAAGGGGUUGACGCAGGCUGCAUGUGCAGGCUGCCUUAGGGCUUUCCAAACUCAUGAUCAGGACAGGCAGAGGUAAAGAAUCAGAUUCACAACUCCCUCACAGCCGACCGCUGACGCCAAUUCAACAUGCUCAAUCAGCCAAAACAGACCCGAAGAGGACAGACUACAGCCAACAGUGGGGGAUACACCCAAUAGACUAUGGGUAACAACAAGCUACUGAUGCUCACCUACAGCCUCGCAGUGUCCAACAGCCCACAGCCAGCUUGGGGUGUUAAGAAUCUUCUAGGCUGGCCAUACAUACAAUAGUGACAACUGCAGGGGCGUCAGAAGCAUUUUUAAUGUGCGGGUACACACUCAUUUAAAUGAAUUAGAUGCCAUUUCCUGCAGGUUGCUACAAAAGUGACUUAAUUCAAUGACUAUUUAGAGUCAGGAACAGCUCCCUUGUCAGCAGCUCUAGCUCUGUGCAGCUCACGCCUGAGCCCAUUCCCAACUCGAUGCCUGACCAGAACUCGAGCCCGGUUGGCCCGAGGUUUCUCACCACUUUCCUCAGGCCAGGUCAGGUUGGGUUCAAGAAAAUGGUCUGUGAUGUAUGUGUCUGUUUUUUAAUGUAUUUUUAUUUUAUUUUAUAUAAAGCUAUGGCAUGAUACUCUCAUUACAGCAAAGUAACAAAUCAAACUGUGUUUAAAAAAAAAAGUUGCACAAGUUAGAAUGCUAUAAUCACGCAGGUCUGGUCUUUUUUAUUUAAUGAGUAUUCAGUUCCUAGCUAUACUGCUUUUAUUUUUUUGUGUUUUUGCACUUAGGCUAUACGCUUAAAAUAAAAAAGUUAGUUUGUUUAAAAAGUAUUUUAUA